GCGCCUGCUCCGGGGUGCACGUAUUGGCGUGCUGAGAUGGCGGCCCGAGCCGCCAAAACCGCGAACUUGAUCUGGUUAGUACCAGCGUAAGAAGAGCUGCAGUCGGGACG
rnacentral:ncRNA from 2 species